UGGGGAAUCUUGGACAAUGGGGGCAACCCUGAUCCAGCGACGCCGCGUGGGUGAAGAAGGCCUUAGGGUUGUAAACCCCUUUCACCGGGGAGGAUGAUGACGUUACCCGGAGAAGAAGCACCGGCUAACUCCGUGCCAGCAGCCGCGGUAAGACGGAGGGUGCUAGCGUUGUUUGGAAUCACUGGGCGUAAAGGGCGCGUAGGCGGCUUCGUUAGUCAGAUGUGAAAGCCCGGGGCUCAACCCCGGAAUUGCAUUUGAUACUGCGGAGCUAGAGGUCGAAAGAGGAGAGUGGAAUACCCAGUGUAGAGGUGAAAUUCGUAUAUAUUGGGUGGAACACCAGUGGCGAAAGCGGCUCUCUGGUUCGAAUCUGACGCCGAGGCGCGAAAGCGUGGGGAGCAAACAGGAUUAGAUACCCGGGUAGUCC
rnacentral:rRNA from 1 species